rnacentral:lncRNA from 1 species
UGCGGCGGCAGAUGCAUGUAUGCUUGUCUCGUGCGGACGUGCCCCACUGCCGGACUGCCCCCAGGUGGCACCACGGAAGAGAUGGAAACAGAGUACUGUACAUCCGAGUGCACCAUUGUACUGUUUCGUCUUUUCUACGAACCCAAUCCUGAACCCGUCACUUGGGAAAAAUUGAACAGAGGAAAGAUCAUCAGAAAACGGAUCUAAAUAAUGGGAGUGUAAACAGUAGGAUCGACAGAAAAUGCCUAAAUCCCUGCUCCAAUCGAGUAAACAAAACAAGAGAGAGGAGGACCGAUCAGAUUCCUACUGAAUUCACACGCAGGUGUCCGGAGUGGCAACCCGUGCUUCCCCAGCUCGGGCUCUGAUCCCGGGAGUGCGUGCGAACGCACAUCUGCUCACGUCCUGAACUCCCAAGCACCGUAGA